AAAAAUAUAGAAUUAAAAACAAAAAAUUGAUCCUCAUCCUUCUCCUCUUUCUUUUGCUCUCUCCCUCCACGCAUGCUCCCUCCUUUACUGCAAAGAUUUUCAUCAGCCGCUCUCCCCCUCCGUUCAGCUGCACACCUCAGCCCGAAAUCGCCGGCGAAGUUGUCGGGACGCCGAAAGCGCACAUAGCUUACCCAAGUCUCCAAUUCCCAUUAGUUUAUCUCCACAUCAGAAACUGAAAUUCAAACCCACAUCAAACCAAUAUCCAAAAUGGGUGCAAUGGGAGGUGAACCGAGUGCAAGCACAAGCGAUAAGGGAAAAGGGCACCUCCAUGGUUGACUAGCAAGUAAUAGCGGUUUUUUUUUACGUGUACAGAGUAUAGAAGCGAGUGAACUCGCUAGUUGGCAGCAGCACGUGUCAAGUCACCACCUCCCUUUUUGCUGGUACAGUCGGAGUUUACACGUGGCAUGCUUAGGUUUCUUUUGUUUGUAAUUAGUUAACUUACAAAUGUAAGGUUAUAACCUUCUUUUUGCUAAUGGAGUAGUAUAUAUAUAUAUAUCGAAACAGGUUAAUGUUAUUUUGUCAUGUUUAGUAGUAAAGAGUUGUGUUAACAGGUUUA